UUUAGGAGGGGCUUGCGCCAUAUUAGUUAGUUGGUAGGGUAAUGGCCUACCAAGACGAUGAUGUGUAGCUGGACUGAGAGGUUGAACAGCCACAUUGGGACUGAGACACGGCCCAAACUCCUACGGGAGGCAGCAGUAGGGAAUUUUCGGCAAUGGAGGAAACUCUGACCGAGCAACGCCGCGUGAAUGACGAAGUACUUCGGUAUGUAAAGUUCUUUUAUCAAGGAAGAAAAGCAAAUGGCGAACCAUUUGUUUGCCGGUACUUGAUGAAUAAGCCCCGGCUAAUUAUGUGCCAGCAGCCGCGGUAAGACAUAAGGGGCAAGUGUUAUCCGGAAUUAUUGGGCGUAAAGGGUGCGUAGGCGGUCUAGUAAGUCAGUGGUGUAAUGGCAACGCUUAACGUUGUCCGGCUAUUGAAACUGCUAAACUUGAGUUAGAUAGAGGCGAGUGGAAUUCCAUGUGUAGCGGUAAAAUGCGUAAAUAUAUGGAGGAACACCAGAGGCGUAGGCGGCUCGCUGGGUCUUAACUGACGCUGAGGCACGAAAGCGUGGGGAGCAAACAGGAUUAGAUACCCUGGUAGUCCACGCCGUAAACGAUGAGUACUAAGUGUCGGGUUAAACCGGUACUGAAGUUAACACAUUAAGUACUCCGCCUGAGUAGUACGUACGCAAGUAUGAAACUUAAAGGAAUUGACGGGACUCCGCACAAGCGGUGGAUCAUGUUGUUUAAUUCGAAGAUACCCGAAAAACCUUACCAGGUCUUGACAUGUUUUUGCAAAAUGAUAGUAAUAUCGUGGAGGUUACCAGAAACACAGGUGGUGCAUGGUUGUCGUCAGCUCGUGUCGUGAGAUGUUAGGUUAAGUCCUAAAACGAGCGAAACCCUUAUCGUUAGUUGCCAGCACGUUAUGGUGGGGACUUUAACGAGACUGCCAAUGAUAAAUUGGAGGAAGGUGAGGAUCACGUCAAAUCAGCAUGCCCCUUAUGACCUGGGCUACAAACGUGAUACAAUGGCUGUUACAAAGGGUAGCUGAAACGCAAGUUCUUSGGCCAAU
rnacentral:rRNA from 1 species